rnacentral:rRNA from 1 species
AGCGAACGCUGGCGGCAGGCUUAACACAUGCAAGUCGAACGCCCCGCAAGGGGAGUGGCAGACGGGUGAGGAACACGUGGGAACGUACCCUUCGGUUCGGAAUAACUCAGGGAAACUUGUGCUAAUACCGGAUACGUCCGAAAGGAGAAAGAUUUAUCGCCGAAGGAUCGGCCCGCGUCUGAUUAGCUUGUUGGUGAGGUAACGGCUCACCAAGGCGACGAUCAGUAGCUGGUCUGAGAGGAUGAUCAGCCACACUGGGACUGGGACACGGCCCAGACUCCGACGGGAGGCGGCAGUGGGGAAUAUUGGACAAUGGGGGCAACCCUGAUCCAGCCAUGCCGCGUGAGUGAUGAAGGCCUUAGGGUUGUAAAGCUCUUUUGUCCGGGAAGAUAAUGACGGUACCGGAAGAAUAAGCCCCGGCUAACUUCGUGCCAGCAGCCGCAGUAA